GAAAAAACAGUGGGGCUAAAGACAUAUCACUGUAGAAAGGGAGUAGAUGGUAGAAGCUUGAAACAGAGGAGAGACCAUUGGGCGAAAGGACUGGAGUGCAGACAACAGUGCUGAAGAGAGGCUGAGGAUUAAAGAGGUACUAGCAGGCAGCAGCUCUAAAGAAGCUAUUGGAUUCUCAGGCUAAGACAUGAAAAGGUUUACCAUGGAACUUAAUACCAUACUUGUAUGGGAUUAUGCCUCAGAAUUGGAGAUUGAGGGACUGCACAUGGAUGCUUCAUAGAGA